rnacentral:rRNA from 1 species
AUUGAACGCUGGCGGCAUGCUUUACACAUGCAAGUCGAACGAGUGGCGAACGGGUGAGUAAUAUAUCGGAACGUACCGAGUAGUGGGGGAUAACUAAUCGAAAGAUUAGCUAAUACCGCAUAUUAUUCGAGCGGCCCAUAUCUGAUUAGCUAGUUGGUGGGGUAAAGGCCUACCAAGGCGACGAUCAGUAGCGGGUCUGAGAGGAUGAUCCGCCACACGGGAACUGAGACACGGCCCAGACUCCUACGGGAGGCAGCAGUGGGGAAUUUUGGACAAUGGGCGCAAGCCUGAUGCAGCCAUGCCGCGUGUCGGAAGAAGGCCUUCGGGUUGUAAAGGACUUUUGGCAGGGAAGCGGUACCGGAAGAAUAAGCACCGGCUAACUCCGUGCCAGCAGCCGCGGUAAUAC